rnacentral:rRNA from 1 species
GUCUACUGCCAUACCACCCUGAACGCACCUGUUCUUGUCUGAUCUCAGAAGCCAAGCAGGGUCGGGCCUGGCUAGUACUUGGAUGCGAGAAUUACAAUUUCAAAGACA